CAGUCGCCGCGGUAAUACGAGGGGAGCUAGCGUUAUUCGGAAUUACUGGGCGUAAAGCGCACGUAGGCGGCUUUGUAAGUUAGAGGUGAAAGCCCAGAGCUCAACUCUGGAAUUGCCUUUAAGACUGCAUCGCUUGAAUCCAGGAGAGGUGAGUGGAAUUCCGAGUGUAGAGGUGAAAUUCGUAGAUAUUCGGAAGAACACCAGUGGCGAAGGCGGCUCACUGGACUGGUAUUGACGCUGAGGUGCGAAAGCGUGGGGAGCAAACAGGAUUAGAUACCCGGGUAGUCCCUGUCUCUUAUAC
rnacentral:rRNA from 1 species